CUUCAGUUCUGUUUCCUUUAGGAUGCGAAGGAGCGCCUGGUUGGGAGCUUCACCACUGGGAGUCAACGGUUCCACCAACUGCAGAAUCAUGAGGCGCCGUAGAGUUCUCUUUCGUCGGAUGUGUCGUCGGCGGAAGAUGACGAAGAUGAGAAGGAUGAGGACCAUAAUCAUCAGCAUGACUCCGACAAUGCCAGCCGCCACUACAGGCAUGUGAGAGCUAGAGAGAGCAAAUCAGCAGGUUGCAGUGACUGACACAGCGCUCGCCACGGCUUACGUGCUGACAGGAGACACACAUGGACGGCCCCGGACCCCAGCAGCCUUCCUCUCCACACAUGCUGUCACAGGUGGCACCAAAGUUGUACUUCCCGUUGGGAUUGGGAACAAGUUGGUGAUUGUUGGGGUCAUACAGCAUUAGACGUGGACACGCAUCCUUGCACGUCCCGUCAUCCUGGAAGUCUCUGCAGGCCUGCAGAAGAAGAGAUGCGACAAGGUCUGGCAGUUCUCUGGUCCUGGAGCCCAACACGAUCCAUUAAAGCACGCUGAGUCACAUCCCGUGCCUGAGGUGUUGAAUUCCUGCAGCCAUCGUUAGGUGUCUCAUCUCCAGUGGAGGAGGAAAUUCUGUGGGCGGGAACUCCGUGAUCAAGAAUGUGGUUCACAGAGGCUGAAGAAAGAAAUGCAUACAGGUUUGGAGCAACGUGAGGGCUGUGGGAAUGAAACAAAGUAUUGA